rnacentral:rRNA from 1 species
UACGAAGGGGGCUAGCGUUGCUCGGAAUGACUGGGCGUAAAGGGCGCGUAGCCGGCUUACAUAGUUAGGCGUGCAAUUCAUGGGCUCAACCUGGGGACUGCGUCUAAUACAUGUAGGCUUGAGUGUGAAAGAGGGUCGUGGAAUUUCCGGUGUAGAGGUGAAAUUCGUAGAUAUUGGAAAGAACACCGGUGGCGAAGGCGGCGACCUGGUUCAUUACUGACGCUGAGGCGCGAAAGCGUGGGGAGCAAACAGG